AGCAGCCGCGGUAAUUCCAGCUCCAAUAGCGUAUAUUAAAGUUGUUGCAGUUAAAAAGCUCGUAGUUGAAUUUCGGGAUCAAUAUAUCGGUCGUGCCUUGGUACGUACUGGUAUCAUUGGUUUCUCCUUUCUGACGAACCAUGAUGUCAUUAAUUUGGUGUUAUGGGAAGUUAGGACUGUUACUUUGAAAAAUUAGAGUGUUUAAAGCAGGCUUUGGCUUGAAUACAUUAGCAUGGAAUAAUGAAAUAGGACGUUCGAACCUAUUUUGUUGGUUUCUAGGAUCAACGUAAUGAUUAAUAGGGAUAGUUGGGGGCAUUAGUAUUCAAUUGUCAGAGGUGAAAUUCUUGGAUUUAUUGAAGACUAACUACUGCGAAAGCAUUUGCCAAGGAUGUUUUCAUUAAUCAAGAACGAAAGUUAGGGGAUCGAAGACGAUCAGAUACCGUCGUAGUCUUAACCAUAAACUAUGCCGACU
rnacentral:misc_RNA from 1 species